UAGGGAAUCUUCCGCAAUGGACGAAAGUCUGACGGAGCAACGCCGCGUGAGUGAAGAAGGCUUUCGGUUCGUAAAACUCUGUUGUUAGGGAAGAAAAAAUGUAUAGUAACUAUAUACAAAAGAGACGGUACCUAACCAGAAAGCCACGGCUAACUACGUGCCAGCAGCCGCGGUAAUACGUAGGUGGCAAGCGUUGUCCGGAAUUAUUGGGCGUAAAGCGCGCGCAGGUGGUUUAGAAAGUCUGAUGUGAAAGCCCACGGCUCAACCGUGGAGGGUCAUUGGAAACUAAUAAACUGGAGUGCAGGAGAGAAAAGUGGAAUUCCUAGUGUAGCGGUGAAAUGCGUGGAGAUUAGGAGGAACACCGGUGGCGAAAGCGGCUUUUUGGCCUGCAACUGACACUGAGGCGCGAAAGCGUGGGGAGCAAACAGG
rnacentral:rRNA from 1 species